rnacentral:tmRNA from 1 species
GGGGUCGACUGGUUUUGACAGCGAGAUCUAUGGAACUGUAAGCACGCCGCGUAAUGAUAAUGACACGCGUUAAAGGCCUUAUCAAAUUUUAAUCGGCGAGAAUAACUACGCUUUAGCUGCUUAAUAACUGAAUUAUAGUAAGUUCAAGCCCCGGCACACAAGGUGUGCAAGCUAAAUGUCUCUUGAAAGCCUUGGUUUAUGGCGUUCUAAUUAGAGACAUCGAAAAAGUAAACCUAGAGUUUCUAGAGCUUCUAUAGAAACUCGAAAAUUAAGAAGCUAAGUUCUAAGUAGGCCGUUUUUAGUCAGCUUAUUAUCGAAAAUUAAAUAAAAACUAAGCGUGUAGAAAGCACUUUUGUAGCUUGUUUGGACGAGGGUUCGAUUCCCUCCGACUCCACUG